rnacentral:rRNA from 1 species
UACGUAGGUGGCAAGCGUUAUCCGGAAUUACUGGGCGUAAAGCGCACGCAGGCGGUUUCUUAAGUUUGACGUGAAAGCUCCUGGCUUAACUGGGAGAGGUCGUUGAAGACUGGGGAACUUGAGGCAAUGAGAGGGAUGUAGAAUUCACGGUGUAGUGGUGGAAUGCGUAGAUAUCGUGAGGAAUACCAGUGGCGAAAGCGGCAUCCUGGCAUUAGCCUGACGCUCAUGUGCGAAAGCGUGGGGAGCGAACGGGAUUAGAAACCCCCGUAGUCC